rnacentral:misc_RNA from 1 species
AAGACUAUAGACCUGCGGAGUACCUGCGGAGGGAUCAUUAUCGUAGGGCUUCUGCCCUGUCGAGAUAGCGUCCUUGCCUAUUUUUUGGAGUACCUUUUUGUUUCCUCAGCAGGCUUGCCUGCUACUGGGGACCCCUUAAACUCUUUGUAAAUACAGCAUCUGUCUGAAUAAACAAACUAAAAAUCAAAACUUUCAACAACGGAUCUCU